CAAGCUUAGGAAACUUAAUAAGGUACUUACAUGUAUUGAUAGAUUGAAACGUUAGUUUUCUUCUCUAGAAAAGGGAAUCCAGUAUGAGGAAAACUACAGUCAAAGUUUAGAAGACCUUUUAAAAACAACUCACAGGACUUUUCGCUGCUCUUUUAAGGUGGGACUGAUCACUUUUUCAGUUGGUUUAUGAGAACGAAAUCGUUCGGUAGCAGCUUCUUUGAAGCCGCUGGAGCAAGUCUGGUAAAAAUCUGUAUUAGCAGAAUCAGAACCAGACACUCAGCCUCGGAAUUCCACUCUGCUGGAAAAUGGGUGCAGAUCAGCUCCUUUGGAGACCACGGACUAAGAAGAAUAUUCCUUUUGUCCUAUAAAAAUAUUGGGAUGAGUUUUGGUUUUUAAGACGGCUGCUAGUAUUCGUUCUCUCCUCUGAGGAUCGCCCACGUGACCAUGCCGUGUAAUCUGUGCUGGGUCCUCCCUAGAGAGCUCCAGCUGUCCACCCUCGGCUACGAGUCUGAACCAAACCUGCUGCCCACGUGCGUGGCAGCAGAAAGCCAUCUGAAAGGUCGCAGUGCCCCAUGGUUUGAUCUAUGGUCAAGAUGCCAAAACCUACAGGGGCAGAUCAGAGUUUAUUGUGUGAAGAGCUUCAGAAGAAAGAUAAGCUGCCUUAAAACUGUUAGAGAGGCAAAAUUACUUUGGAAGCAUAUGAGGAGUAUUGACACCACUUGAGCUUUCUGCUCUAUGUUGCCAGGUUUCUCAUCAUCAAAGCGUUUGAAGAUUACAGUGAUAAAGGAAUACAAAAAAUAUAAACACUGAGAUGAAGAUAGAAGCAGAAAGUGUUUAUAUGGCAAUUGUCAUGAAACUGUUACCAAAAAAAAGCACAGAAGUAGAAAAAAGAUGAAUUCAAAAAUUCCCUGUCCAGAACAAGACAGGAAAAAUAUGCAUAUAGACAAAAAUCCUCAGAUUUUUGACUGUAAGUCUUUUAUGACUGUAAGAAUCAUUGCUGAAACCAUUUUGAAGGUCGCCCUGGGGUCCUCUAAAUAGUGCAGUUGUGUUAGAUGCCCCUUUUUUUAGAUAUUUCUUCUACGAUUAAGGGUAACGUAAAGACUUAUUUUUCUAAUAUGGUUACCUGUAAAUUUUUCCAUCAAGUAUCCUUUCAACAUUUUCGAACUCCAUUACUCAAUUUCAAACAAAUGUGACAUCAGUACGGACGGUAAAAGCUCCGCAAAUGCUCUAAAAAUAGGGCAAAUAAUAGAACAUGUCAGUGCUCCACUGACCCAGUGACAGGAUGAAGGAUGAGUUUGUUUUUAGAUACCAAAAAAUGGUAGAGAAAAGGAGAGAAAAAUUCCACCCGUGGAGAAGCUGCAUCUCUUAUGAGAUACUGCAUAAUGCAAUGAGACAGAAAGCAUAGGCAAUCAGGAGAUUCUGCUCAUGUAUUGGUGGCUCUAAAGGUGGGGGAAUUUCAGAGGUGGCUGCUGUCUUAGGAGGAAGAUAUGAAAUACAGAGAAUUUACAGAUUCUGCAGAAAGACACCAUAAGUGACACAGCUUUGGCAGUUAGCGGGAAGUUUGUGAAGCAGCAGCAAAUUUCAAAGCAGCCAGUAGGUUGGUUCAGACUUUCAGCUGUAAUGUCAGGACAUUGAUUAUCUUCUAAACAACGGUCUCUCAGGAUCAUUGAAUAUGCAAGGUCCAAGACAACAUGCACUUCUCGUACUGUUUUGGUGGCCCUGCCCCCAUAGAUAACAAGAAUUCAUGUUAUAUUGCCUAUGUUAUCCUCAGCUGUACGUACUAUCCAGCACUGAACACUAUUCAGGUACUAUAGCACUAAAGUACUAUUCAGGCACUUUAUUAGGAAAAUUUGUACUUACUUUCUUCAUUGUUAAUGCUUUCGGGUAGGGUUAUAAUCUAGACAGGGCUCCAAAGUAUGACUUCUAUGCUGUAAAAAUAGUCUAGAAUUCAGAAGACUGGAUUUGGGCCUGAUGCAUGCUUUACCAUACCCCAUAUAUUUUUUAACAAACAUCUACAAGGAACAAAUAGCUGUUAUCCUCCCUGCGUUUGCUAAUGGACUCAGACAGACAGCACAAAAAGCAUAUUUAAAUCCACUAACAGUAAAAGAGUAGCACCUUGAAAAAGUGACUCUCAGACUCAGUAGUCUGCCAAAAUGAGUACUGUGGUGUAAAUAUUUGAAAUAAUUCUUCAUUGUAUGGUUACAAGCCGAGCAAUAGGGAUGCAGAAGGGGUAGAGGAACAUUUCGAAAUGCCAGGUCCUAAAGAUAGCUGUGAAUUUUCACUAUUCAGUACAUCUGAGUAGACAAAGAAAAUCCGGACCUUUGAUGACCCCUGGUGAAUAAACUAAGCACUGCAUUGAAAUGACGACCGAUACUGUACUUGUCCAGUUAAUUCUCACCAUAAAAAAAGCGAAGAAGGAUUGUUUCCUUAAAAAGUAGAGGAAAAAGGACAAAACUCGUACCGGGUAGGCCAAAGGAAACAGGUUUUCCACAGCUGGAAUAUUAUCAGGUCUCAGGGAAGUACAAGAUUUUAGACAAUUUAAGUGGAUCUAGUGACAGUGAGCUUCUGCAUUCCUGUAUCCCUGUAAUAAAAACUGGCUGAACUUGGAAGAGGAAAAAUACAUUUUACCGUACAAAUAUUGUACCUCCUGCACGGCCCAGGGAACAGGAACCUUUAAGCCAUACAGCAGUCGCAAGGAGCUUGGUGAACCCAGAUCCUCCCUGCACCCUCCCACAUGGCUUAAGACACAAACCGGGCUCCCACGGUCCCCGUCCACCCUAGUGCUCCCUGCACGCGCUCUGUGUCAAGUCUGGGUUAAACGCUCCCCGUCUGGGUUUCAUGUGAGCGCUUCUUUUAAUCACAGUGUUAAUGAUGGGAAGCCCCUCAUCGGGCUCAUUGACUGUAGAUAAGAUUGUACGAUGCUCCAUGGAAUAACUUUAUAUUUAAGUGAAAUACAAAGUUAUAGGCCUGAUUAUUUGUCUUCAACAUUUUUUGUUGGAUAUACUGAUUCCUACUGUAACUAAAACAGCAAAGAAUAUAAAGUCCUUUUUAAUAAAAGACAGCAUCAUAUGGGUUGCUGUAUUGCACACUACUCUGCACUGGCUGUGUUCACCUAAGGUAUAUGCAUAUCGAUGUUACUACACUAUGAAUGAGAAGUUAAAUUAAUCUAAAUUUUUCAGCAAGAAGCUAUGAUCUGAGGAUUAACGACAUGCAGCUGUAAU